AAAAAAAAAACAUAACACAUAACUUUCCCUUUCCAUUCUCCUUCACUUCCGUUAGCUCUCUGUCCCUCAUUCCUCUUCUUCCAUUUCUUUUUCCUUCCUUUCCCAAAUCAAUCAUCCUUAAGAAUAAUUGGUCAUCUAAGUAAAGCAACUUCAUAUUCAAGCUCUAUUGGUAGAAUUUUGGGGGUUAGGGUUUGUGCUUUGAAGUAGAAGGAGAAUACCCAUAUUGUGAGAGUUGCUCAUUGAGACUCUUUGAGAUUCGGUGGAAAUUACUCCGGUGGUCAUUCAGAAAGGCAUCACUAGGAAUUGAGUUCUUUCGUCAUAUCUAUUCAAAGUCAAUUGUGUAGAAAGCUUCUAGCAGGGUUAAGGAUCUAUCAAUGUCACUCUUUUGGUAGGUUUCCUAUGUAUAUAAAUUGAAUGGUCGAUGUAUCUGCAGCUAUUGGUAGUCUAGAACUGUUCUGUUGAGUUGUACAAACAUCUAGUUAUGUUACUUUGAGAUUCUGGUUGAUAAUACAAGUUUAUAGACAGGAUUCAUAUCUUGGAAAAUAUUCAAAGUACAGAGGAUACUCUGUUGAAAUUUCA